AUUGAACGCUGGCGGCAUGCCUAACACAUGCAAGUCGAACGAGCGGCGGACGGGUGAGUAAUGUCUGGGAACCCGCCUGAUGGGGGGGGAUAACCACUGGAAACGGUAGCUAAUACCGCGUACCAUCAGGUGGGCACAGAUGGGGGUAGCUAGUAGGUGGGGUAACGGCUCACCCAGGCGACGAUCCGUAGCUGGUGUGAGAGGAUGACCAGCCACACUGGGACGGAGACACGGCCCAGACUCCUACGGGAGGCAGCAGUGGGGAAUAUUGGACAAUGGGCGCAAUCCUGAUGCAGCCAUGCCGCGUGUGCGAAGAAGGCCUUCGGGUUGUAAAGCACUUUCGGCGGGAAGGCGUUACCCGCAGAAGAAGCACCGGCUAACUACGUGCCAGCAGCCGCGGUAAUAC
rnacentral:rRNA from 1 species